rnacentral:rRNA from 1 species
AUUGAACGCUGGCGGCAUGCCUAACACAUGCAAGUCGAGCGGAGCGGCGGACGGGUGAGUAAUGACUAGGAAUCUGCCUGGUAGUGGGGGAUAACUUCCGGAAACGGUCGCUAAUACCGCAUAAUAUCAUCGGAGCCUAGGUGGGAUUAGCUAGUUGGUGGGGUAAAGGCCUACCAAGGCGACGAUCCGUAACUGGUCUGAGAGGAUGAUCAGUCACACUGGGACUGAGACACGUUCCAGACUCCUACGGGAGGAAGCAUUUGGGAAUAUUGGACAAUGGGCGAAAGCCUGAUCCAGCCAGGCCGCGUGUGUGAAGAAGGUCUUCGGAUUGUAAAGCACUUUAAGUUGGGAAGCGGUACCAACAGAAUAAGCACCGGCUAACUUCGUGCCAGCAGCCGCGGUAAUUC